rnacentral:tRNA from 1 species
UCAAAACCGAAGCAUGCCAGCAGCACGGCGGAGGGUGGGUUCGACGCCUCUUCUCUUCC